rnacentral:rRNA from 1 species
CCUACGGGCGGCAGCAGUGGGGAAUAUUGCGCAAUGGACGAAAGUCUGACGCAGCGACGCCGCGUGAGGGAUGAAGGUUUUCGGAUCGUAAACCUCUGUCAGGAGGGAAGAAAGCGCAUGGCGCCAAUCAGCCAUGCGUUGACGGUACCUCCAAAGGAAGCGCCGGCUAACUCCGUGCCAGCAGCCGCGGUAAUACGGAGGGCGCGAGCGUUAAUCGGAAUUACUGGGCGUAAAGCGCGCGUAGGCUGUUGUGUAAGUUGGGGGUGAAAUCCCACGGCUCAACCGUGGAACAGCCCUUGAUACUGCGCGACUUGAAUCCGGGAGAGGGUGGCGGAAUUCCAGGUGUAGGAGUGAAAUCCGUAGAUAUCAGGAGGAACAUCGGUGGCGUAAGCGCUUUACUGGGCCGUAAUUGACACUGAGGAACGAAAGCCGGGGUAGCAAAUGGGAUUAGAUACCCGUGUAGUC